rnacentral:rRNA from 1 species
AUUGAACGCUGGCGGCAUGCCUUACACAUGCAAGUCGAACGGCAGCACGGGGCAACCUGGUGGCGAGUGGCGAACGGGUGAGUAAUGCAUCGGAACGUGCCAUUGAGUGGGGGAUAACGUAGCGAAAGUUGCGCUAAUACCGCAUAUUCUGUGAGCAGGAAAGCAGGGGACCGCAAGGCCUUGCGCUCUUUGAGCGGCCGAUGUCAGAUUAGCUAGUUGGUGAGGUAACGGCUUACCAAGGCGACGAUCUGUAGCGGGUCUGAGAGGAUGAUCCGCCACACUGGAACUGAGACACGGUCCAGACUCCUACGGGAGGCAGCAGUGGGGAAUUUUGGACAAUGGGCGCAAGCCUGAUCCAGCCAUGCCGCGUGAGUGAAGAAGGCCUCGGGUU